UAUCACGUGUUCUGAUGUCAGCGCGCCUGCGUUCGCCGGACUGAUACUCUCAGCUUUCGCGGGAUCUUGGUGAAGUCUUAAGUGUUUUACGCCACAGAUCGUGGAGUUUAGGGUCAUUUUUCUCCAGGUUCCGUGGGUCUGGUUUUGGACUUCACGAUGUACCACAACAGUAGCCAGAAGCGGCAUUGGACGUUCUCAAGUGAGGAGCAGCUGGCACGACUGCGGGCCGACGCCAACCGUAAAUUCAAAUGCAAAGCGGUAGCGAACGGGAAGCUAAAGGUUCUUCCAAAUGAUCCAAUCUUUCUGGAGCCUCAUGAAGAAAUGAUGCUGUGCAAAUACUAUGAGAAAAGACUGUUGGAAUUCUGUUCGGUGUUUAAGCCAGCAAUGCCAAGGUCUGUUGUGGGUACAGCUUGUAUGUAUUUCAAGCGUUUUUAUCUUAAUAACUCAGUAAUGGAAUAUCCCCCCCGGAUAAUAAUGCUCACUUGUGCAUUUUUGGCCUGCAAAGUAGAUGAAUUCAAUGUGUCUAGUCCACAGUUUGUUGGAAAUCUACGGGAGAGCCCUCUUGGACAGGAGAAGGCACUUGAACAGAUUUUGGAAUAUGAAUUACUUCUUAUACAGCAACUUAAUUUCCACCUUAUUGUCCACAAUCCUUAUAGGCCAUUUGAGGGCUUUCUCAUUGAUUUAAAGACUCGCUAUCCCAUGUUGGAGAACCCAGAGAUUUUGAGGAAAACAGCUGAUGACUUUCUUAAUAGAAUUGCAUUGACAGAUGCUUACCUUUUAUAUACACCUUCCCAAAUAGCCUUGACUGCCAUUUUAUCCAGUGCAUCCAGAGCAGAAAUUACUAUGGAAAGUUACUUAACAGAAAGUCUGAUGCUGAAAGAGAACCGAACUUGCUUGUCACAGUUACUAGAGACUAUGAAAAGUAUGAGAAACUUGGUAAAAAAAUAUGAACCACCAAGAUCUGAAGAAGUUGCUGUUCUAAAACAGAAGUUGGAGAGAUGUCACUCUGCUGAGCUUGCCCUUAACAUAAUCACAAAAAAGAGGAAAGGCUAUGAAGAUGAUGAUUAUGUCUCAAAGAAAGCCAAACAUGAGGAGGUAUGUUUUCCAAAGGAAGAAUGGACUGACGAUGACCUGGUAGAUUCUCUAUAACCGAUGGAAACUGAUUUGUCAAUGCUGACUUAACCAACAGAAGGAUGAAGUGUCACUAAACUUUGGCAUUAGAGCAAGGUCCACAUUUCUCUGAAAAAUUUCCUACCCAGCCCUUUAAAAAAAAGUUUUAGAGAUUUUAUUUCAUCAUUGACCAGCUAAUAAUUACUGCAAGGCCUAAAAAGCUCACACAUCACUGGAAUGUGGAAAGGUGUGCUAUUUUUUGGCAAGAGCAAAGAAGACAUCAUACUGAUGAGAUUUACCAUGUAGGUCAUGCUGAAUCCAUGCAGAACACGUGGGUGAAGGCUGCUACCUGACGUCAUUUGUUUUUGUAUAUUGGUUUUGUUUCUGUUGAAGCAGUUCUGUUAUAGCUAGAAGCUUUUUCAGUACAUGCUAGAUAAGGAAAAAUAGUAUGAACAUAAUUAGUAAAUAAAUGAAAGCCUGGUUAGAAAUUUCAAGGGUAGGAACCUGGAUUUGAAAAAAGUCCUAUUAACUCAAAGAAAUUCAUAAAAUAUUACCAUUCUACUCAAAUCAUAAAAAUUUGUUAGUGCACAAAAAUAUCUCGACCAAAAUAUAUUAAGAACCAAGUGAAGAGAAAUUCAUUUGUGUUUGGUGUUCUCGUAACUACUUAGGCCAGAACAAUUGCUAAGACAGAUCUUAUGUUCUAUCAUUAUAAAUGACACAUACAUACACCUUAUGCCUUAGAGAAUCAUGUAAGAAAUAAAACGAUAUUGUGCCUAAAAUUAAAUCAAACAGGUCCUACAUCUUUCUUGAAUUUUUUUUUAUUGGAGAAUUUGGCCUAAAUAUGACAAGUAGGCCCUGUGGGAUAUAUUCUGCCCAAGUUUCUAAACUUGGAAAAAAACCUUUUGAGGAAAACUCAGAAUCACCAAACUCACUGCUUUAGUCUCUUCUAACAAAUGGCUGGCCAGUGUGGUGAUAGUAUUCAGGAAGAGCUUACUGCAACUAGCAGUUUACAAGAUCACACUCUAGAAGAUUGGGAGCUUAGAAUAUUUUUGUGGAUCACUUGGCAGUGCACUGUGUGUGUGAGAGAAACAAAAGUCACGUAACUACUGACUUACUGGCUCCCUUACUCUCUUCACACAUCCUUCUGGAAUUCACAUUAAUUUAGACUCUAGCAAGGUUUGACAAUUUGCAGAAUCAAAAAGUCUGGGUAUAUUAUUCCUAUCUGCCAAGAUCUUUCUGGAUUAUAACUCAGAUUCUGAAGACUUUAAUGGAACAAAGUGUUGACCAUAAUUCAGCUAUUUACGGCCUCUCAGUCUUCUUAAGUGCUAAUGAAACAUCAUUGUUCAAUGAAGUCUGGCCAAAACCUACCUGCUGUGCACCACGUUCAUUACUGAGUGUUCGCAGUUCAUCUGAAUGGGCCACACAAAUUUCAUGCAAUGCUGCUAAAUCACGGGACAGGUCAGUUCUAGAAUGUUCUAUACUGUCUGGAAGUUCAGGCACAUUCUUUAAGGGAAUCACAAAACUGCAUUUAGAAAUACAAUCUUUAUAGUUUCCUCACUGGUUAUAAUAGAAGUUUUAACAUACUGAAGCCUUUUAAAAUCAAAUUUGUAACCUCGGUGUUCACAUCAAAACCAGGUUCCAUUUUUUGUGUAGUAGUACUGCUCUUCUAAAUAAAUGGGUUUCUUAAACUUU